rnacentral:rRNA from 1 species
UACGAAGGGUGCAAACGUUGCUCGGAAUUAUUGGGCGUAAAGCGCACGUAGGCGGCAUUGCAAGUCGGAUGUGAAAUCCCUCGGCUUAACCGAGGAAGUGCAUCCGAAACUGCCGUGCUUGAGUACGAAAGAGGAUCGCGGAAUUCCCGGUGUAGAGGUGAAAUUCGUAGAUAUCGGGAGGAACACCGGUGGCGAAGGCGGCGACCUGGGUCGAGACUGACGCUGAGGCGCGAAAGCGUGGGGAGCAAACAGG